UCCUGCUCAUAAAUACUGAACACUCCGAUCGCCAUGAAACAUGGAAGCUGUCAGACUGAAACAAAGCUUCUUCUUGUUAUCGGUCUUUCUGCUCUGGCUAUCAGGCUGUCCUGCUAGCGGCGAGCCGGUGACCCAGACUCCCACGCUGUGGACAAAUCAGGAUGCCGACGCCACGAUGCAGUGCAGCCACACAAAGGGCAGCACGUACCGCCUGAUGUACUGGUACCAGCAGCUGCCGGGUCAGAACAUGAAGCUGAUCGUUUCCACCACGGCGUACAGCCCACCCGAGUACGACCCGGGCUUCACGGAGGAGAAGUUUCCGGCAGAGAAGAAGAAUGCGGAGACGGGAUCUCUGAGGGUGAAGAAGGUGAAGCCUGAAGACAGCGGAGUGUAUUUCUGUUCUGUCAGUGAGACACAGUGAAGCAGCUGAUUGAAGGAGCUGAACAAAAAUCCAGCUGAAGCACAGGGACCGAAAAAUAUUGUUUUGAGCUAACUGUAGAGGGCGCUAAUAUCACUAAUACCUUCUAGGUGAGGUAACUGACUGAAAUGGGAUUUUUUUUUACUGUAUUUUUUCCUCUAUAUGCUAUCAAAUAUACAUUACUGUAUACAUAUCACUGACAAUAAAAUACAGCAAUUCAACAUGACAAAUGUGACCAAGUUAAAGACUGUAAUACCUGCUUUCUUUUUUCAGGUUUUGCUUUAUUUGGUUGCUGGAGUUGUUUAUUUCUUUUAAAGAAUGAAAUCCAUGAAAAAAUAAUGGUGGCCAACAAAAGUUGUGUCAUGGAAAAAAGAAAAGAGAAGCUUCAGGAUGUAAUGGGCUAAUAAGCAUAUUUUGUGUUUUUAUUUUAUUAUGAAACUUUUUUUUAGGUUUUUCUUCACUUAUUACAAAAAAUACAGAGACUAUAUUAUGUAUUAAACAAUAUGGAGUUGGCUUGAAUCAGAUGUUGCUGUGACGAUCCCAUUUUGUGUCUCCUCCCCUCUCAUUUGAUCCUUUAACAUG